UACGUAGGGGGCUAGCGUUGUCCGGAAUCAUUGGGCGUAAAGCGCGCGUAGGCGGCCCGGUAAGUCCGCUGUGAAAGUCAAAGGCUCAACCUUUGAAUGUCAGCGGAUACUGCCGGGCUAGAGUCCGGAAGAGGCGAGUGGAACUCCUGGUGUAGCGGUGGAAUGCGCAGAUAUCAGGAGGAACACCGGUGGCGAAGGCGGAUCUCUGGGCCUUACCUGACGCUGAGGCGCGAAAGCUAGGGGAGCGAACAGG
rnacentral:rRNA from 1 species